GACGAACGCUGGCGGCGUGCCUAAUACAUGCCAGUCGAACGAGAGCGCCCGGUGCUUGCCCUGGUCAAUCUAGUGGCGAACGGGUGAGUAACACGUGGGUAACCUGCUCAUCAGAGGGGGAUAACAUCCGGAAACGGAUGCUAAAACCGCAUAGGUCUUCGAGCCGCAUGGCUUGAAGAGGAAAAGAGGCGCAAGCUUCUGCUGAUGGAUGGACCCGCGGUGCAUUAGCUAGUUGGUGAGGUAACGGCUCACCAAGGCCGUGAUGCAUAGCCGACCUGAGAGGGUGCUCGGCCACAUUGGGACUGAGACACGGCCUAAACCCCUACGGGAGGCAGCAGUAGGGAAUCUUCCGCAAUGGACGAAAGUCUGACGGAGCAACGCCGCGUGAGUGAAGAAGGUUUUCGGAUCGUAAAACUCUGUUGUCAGAGAAGAACAAGUGCUAGAGUAACUGUUAGCGCCUUGACGGUAUCUAACAAGAAAGCCACGGCUAACUACGU
rnacentral:rRNA from 1 species